rnacentral:lncRNA from 10 species
CCCUUGGCCGGCAUCUGAGAAUCUUGAUUUGAGGAGAAUUCCCACCACUCCCAGAAGUAAUUAUUGAAAUAAGGAUUGUGAAGAGAUAUCUGUACUCCCAUAUUUAUUGCAGCAUUAUUCAUAAUAGCCAACAUAUGGAAGCAACCCAAAAAUUUACAGACAGAUGAGUGGGUAAAGAAAUUGUGACAAAUAUGUACAAUGGAAUAUUAUUCAGCCUCAAAGAAGAGAGAAAUCAUGCCAUUUCAAACAACAUGGAUGAACCUGGAGGACAUUAUGCUGAAUGAAAUAAGCCAGGCACGGCAGGACACUGCAUUAUUCCACUUACAUGAGGUCACUUAAGAAAAUAGCCUCUAACUGCAUCCAUAAUGCUGCAGAGGACAUGAUUUCAUUCUUUUUCAUGGCUGCAUAGUAUUCCAUCAGUCCUCAAAAGCAACUGCAACAAAAACAAAAAAAUAAGUGGGACCUAAUUAAGCUGAAGAGCUUCUGCACAGCAAGAGAAAACAUCAAAGCAGUAUACAGAAAACCUACACAACAGGAGAAAAUAUUCACAAACUAUGCAUCUGACAAAGGUCUAAUAUCUAGAAUUUAUAAGGAACUUAAAUCAACAAGAAAAAAAGAAAUAACUCCAUUAAAAAAUGGGCAAAGGACAUGAACAAACACUUCUCAAAAGAAGACAUAAAAGAGGCCAACAAAUAUAUGAAAACUGCUAAUCAUCAGGAAAUGCAAAUCAAAACCACAAUGAGAUACCAUCCCACACUAGUCAGAAUAGCUUCUGUUAAAAGUAAAAAUAAUAAUAAUAAUAAUAAUAAUAAUAAUAAUAAUAAUAAUAACAGAUGUUGGCUAUGGAGAAAAGAAGAAAUUUAUACACGGUUGGUGGGAAUAUAAACUAGUCCAGCCACCCUGGAGAGCCAUUUGAAGAUUUCUCAAAGAACAAAGAGUUGAACUACCACUUGACCCAGCAUCGUGUUACUGGGUAUAUACCCAAAGGAAAAUAAACUGUUCUACCAAAAGGACAUAUGCACUUGUAUGUUCAUCACACUAUUCACAGUGGCAAAGACAUAAAAUCAACCCAGGUGCCAAUCAACAGUGGAUUGGAUAAAGAAAAUAUGAUACAUAUACACCAGCUUAAUUUAUUUUUAGAUUACUUUUUCUUUCCCCAU